rnacentral:rRNA from 1 species
UUGCCAGUUGCUACCAGGUAAUGCUGGGCGACUCUGGUGAGACUGCCCCGGUUAACGGGGAGGAAGGUGGGGACGACGGUCAAGUCAUCAUGGCCCUUACGCCUAGGGCUACACACGUACUACAAUGGCGCAUACAAAGGGCAGCGAUACCGCGAGGUGGAGCCAAUCCCAAAAAGUGCGUCCCAAGUCCGGAUUGCAGUCUGCAACUCGACUGCAUGAAGUUGGAAUCGCUAGUAAUUCGAGAUCAGCAUGCUCGGGUGAAUGCGUUCCCGGGCCUU